rnacentral:misc_RNA from 1 species
UCAAAUAUGGCGGCUUGGACUGCCGCGUGCGUUAGGCUCCGCCCAUAGCUCCGCCCACAUGCGUGACGUCAUUCGUGUUAGUGGACACACGCGGAGAUAGGGGACGGCAUGGGCCUGGACAUACUGUCCGGUGAGUUCGGUACGGGUGCCGACUGCCGGGGCGGCGACCUCGGAUGGGGUACGGCUAGGGGACGGGCGGCGACCUCUGAUGGGCACGGCUAGGGGACGGACGGAGCACCGGCAUUGUCAGCCCGCGGGCAGUCUGCGGUCGGCCCGGGUGGGGUACCGGGCGUCAUAAUGGGAUAUUUUGACACAUGCGGCUCGCCGACCAUGUGUCAAAAUACGCUGCCGUCUCUGGAGCUCGCCAGGACGGCAGGUCAGUCCUGGACGGCCGCGUGUGUGGCCACGUGACGGCAGUGUGGGCUGCUCAGUUUAUUUAAACUUUAUGCCAAAUUACAUAGAUGUCGCUGCUACCGGUUCCAUCCACGUCUGUCUUCUGACCUACAUACUUUGUAUGUUAGUUUAUUGUCUGGUUUGCUAUGCACCGCCGCGUUUCUGUCUUCAUCUUGACUGACGGCUUGUCUUCCGGCAGGUUCCGGGCGCCAGUAACCCCAUCUCCAGAUUCACACUUGGACCGUUGUUCCCGCUGCGUCAACGAAAUCUGACCUUCAAUGACCUCUGGUGACCUGACCCUGGAACUGACCGAAAAAGUGACCGGAGUGGUUUCGUCAUUAUUAUUGACACUCUUUCGAACGCCACUUUCCGCGUAUCGCACCGUGGCCUGGCCCAGCAGCCGAGGCAGAAGGGUGUUCAAACACCCCCCAGCAGGGCAUGGAGAUCCAGGACCCCAGCGGGGCGCGGGUUAUUCGUGGCUACUGUAAUGGCGUGUUGUCCCUGCCACCCCCAGCUACUGUGUGAUAACGUUGUAACGGUGACGAGACUGAGUGCCCCUCUCCUCACAUGGGUAGGUAAUGACCCCCCCCCCCUCCCCCUCUGUGUUACCGGGUGGUGACGGCGGCGGAACAAUGUAACGUCUCCACCCUGCUGGAGCGGGCCCGUCAGCAGCGAGCCGUGGACGCCACCAACUACAACGAGCAGUCGUCGCUGAAGAAGCAGCUGCCCGAUCAGUCGCCGGGCUGAGCUGGCGCAGCUGGGCGUCGGCCCGCGGCCAGCGGGCCCGUCAGCAGUGAGCCGUGGACGCCACCAACUGCCACCAGCAGUCGUCUCGCUCCCACUCGGUGUUCACGCUGCGCCGUGAGGGUACUGGCGCAGCGCGCUGACACGGCUCACUGUACCUGGUCGACCUGCUCCGGCCCCGAGCGGCUCAGAGUCCGCAGCGCAGGGCGACCGGCUCACCGAGACAACGAAUAUCAACUAGUCGCUGGCCAGUGGCCAGCCUGGGCAACGUCACCAUGGCGCUGGGAAAUACGGACCACGUGCCGCUCCGCGACUCCAAGCUGACGCACCUGCUGCACCACUCACUGGACGCCAACAGCAAGACGCUGAUGUUCGUGAACGUGUCGCCGAGCGAGGACGGCGCCGGCGAGACGCUCAACUCGCUGCGUUUGGCCGGCCAGGCUGGCCAAUGGCAGUGCACCACGAAUUCGGUACGGCUGAAACAUUACAGUUCUACAACACGCCACUGAUCUUCAUACACCGAACAUCGGGCAUCAUUACGUCACUCUGUGGCAGAAACAAGUGAUCUGGAGGAUCGCCACCGAACGCCUUCGACCAAACAUCGCGCCUCACCAAAACGUCACUUUGAAGUUGAAAAAGUGAGCUAGAGGACAAGUGAUGUCACGUUAUGACAACUUGAGUGCCCGUGAAGGCGAUGGCAGGUGCGGUGCUGUCUAUGGAGGUGUGUAUUGAAUAAACGUAUCUCAUGCACUGGGCAAAUAUGAUGUGGAUAUGGAGGUGUGUAUUGAAUAAACAACGUAUCUCAUGCUCGGGACACAUGUGAUGUGUCCAUGGAGGCGUGCAUUGAAUAAACUUAUCAGUCGUGGAAGGUUUGAUCAAUCGUUGUCAUUUUUAGCACGUGCUAUUUUUGUCACACGUGCCAAAAAUGGCAACGGUUCUGUUAUUUUUGACAACGAUGGAGCCGAUUUCACUCCUCAGCGAGGAAAUCACGAUUUUGGAAAUACAAGCACUGAUUUUGGAAAAGAAGUGCUGCCACCUGGUGCAAGAAUAAUAAACCAGCUGUAAUACGGGCCGUUGUAUGGUAAUUUGUUUUGUGGCCUGAAGUUCGAACUUAAAAACUACUGUUACGUGUUAUGUUGUGCCGAACUACGACCAUGUCGUACGCAACUAAAUCAUCGUGUCGGUCGGAACUCUGCUUCAGGGCGAAUUAAGCGGUUUUCUGCGAUGCAUCAUUCGUUUAAAAUAAAAUAGCAUGUCAUU